rnacentral:lncRNA from 1 species
AGAAUCUAUGCAUCUUGGGCCCUUAAACACUUUUUGUGAUAUGCCGCUCACCAUCAAACUUCACGUGGAUGAGAAGGUCGUGGGAGCGAAAGUCUAUACCUUUGAUGAACGAAUGGAAAUUGAUGCUGCUCUCUUGACUUCUAGGCCCAGUAGUUCUUUGUGUUCUGGAUGCAGACCUGUGAGUUACCAGGUUCUCCGAGAGCCUCCUUUUUCCAGUGGCUUGCCCAUGGUGGUGACGCAUCCACAUAGGAAGUUCACAGAUACGUAAGUUGGACAGCAGAACCUUCCAAAUCAUGAGACUUCUCCGGACUUUGUUUCAGUUUGGUUAUUUCUGCUUCUACUUUUUAAUAAUUGGUGCUUUUAGUUGGAGGAGAGUAAAGAAGUCCAGGGGAGCAUUUAUCCUAAGUGACAUACAUAAAUGAAGAAGAAAUGUUUCACAGAAAAGGGAAAAGCAAGUGUUUUGACUGCCAAUGUCAUCAUUAUGGUAAUGGGGAAAUUAGUGUGUGAGGUAUUUCAGUUGAGCAAGUGAAAUUAAUAUUAAAGUUGACCAGAAUCAG